GAUAACGUUCAACGCUACUCCGUGCCAGCAGCGCGUAUUACGGGAGUGGCCAGCGUAUCGAAUAUCGGCGUAAAGCGUCGCAGCGCGUUUCCAAGUCUGCUGUAAAACGUGAGCUUAACUCCAUCAUGGGCAGUGGAACUGAUUGGGCUGAGUGUGGUAGGGGCAGAGGGAAUUUCCCGGUGUAGCGGUGAAAUGCGUAGAUAUCGGGAAGAACACCCAGUGGCGAAGGGCGCUCUGCUGGGCCAUAAACUGACGCUCAUGGACGAAAGCCAGGGGAGCGAAAGGGAUUAGAUACCCCUGUAGUCCUGGCCGUAAACGAUGAACACUAGGUGUCGGGGGAAUCGACCCCCUCGGUGUCGUAGCCAACGCGUUAAGUGUUCCGCCUGGGGAGUACGCACGCAAGCGUGAAACUCAAAGGAAUUGACGGGGGCCCGCACAAGCGGUGGAGUAUGUGGUUUAAUUCGAUGCAACGCGAAGAACCUUACCAGGGUUUGACAUCCUGCGAACCUUUAAGAAAUUAGAGGGUGCCUUCGGGAACGCAGUGACAGGUGGUGCAUGGCUGUCGUCAGCUCGUGUCGUGAGAUGUUGGGUUAAGUCCCGCAACGAGCGCAACCCACGUUUUUAGUUGCCAGCAUUUAGUUGGGCACUCUAGAAAGACCGCCGGUGAUAAACCGGAGGAAGGUGUGGAUGACGUCAAGUCAUCAUGCCCCUUACAUCCUGGGCUACACACGUACUACAAUGCUACGGACAAAGGGCAGCAAACUCGCGAGAGCUAGCAAAUCCCAUAAACCGUGGCUCAGCUCAGAUCGUAGGCUGCAACUCGCCUACGUGAAGUAGGAAUCGCUAGUAAUCGCAGGUCAGCAUACUGCGGUGAAUACGUUCCCGGGCCUUGUACACACCGCCCGUCACACCAUGGAAGUUGGCCACGCCCGAAGUCGUUACUUUAACCCUUGUGGAGAGGGACGCCGAAGGUGGGGCUGAUGACUGGGGUGAAGUCGUAACAAGGUAACC
rnacentral:rRNA from 2 species